UCUGGGAUCCAAGACCUUCCGUGCUUUCAGGCAGAGGCCUUGGAGAGCUUUUUGCCUGAGGGCUUUAGUCCUUCACUAAAGGUUUAGGGAGUCUGCUCUGGUUGUCUGGACACCUUCACUAAAGGUUCAGGGCGAGAGGAGAGUCCAGUCUGGUUGUCUGGACGCCCAGCACUCGUUCCUGUUUCUUGUCACAGCAAGAUAAAGUUUUCAGCUGGAAGUUGCCACUCAGAAAGAUGAAGUUCACUCAAGCUCAACGUGGGAGAUGUGUUUUAUCUUCAGAGAGACUCAUGGAGAGGACUCUGACACUUACUCUAGAAUAUAGACGUUCAGAUCGUAAAACAGAAAUAGUGCACAGAUGAGCCAGAUGGGUCCCGCCCCGUGGAGAGGACACCCUGGACUGCCUGGCCUCACCCCUGGACCCCACAG
rnacentral:lncRNA from 1 species